ACUAGCGGCUGCCAAGCGCAACUAAUCCUAAGAACAUUUCUUAUCCGGUGUAAGCACCGAAUGAAAUUCGAUUGUUCUGUGUCACCGGAUAUGGCGGCGACCACGACGGCGUCUGCGGCGGCGACGGCAAUGGAAAUUCCGAGAAUGCACUUCUCCGCUUUAGGUCACCGGCGUCUAAAUCCGACGAAGAUGAAGUGGAGAAGUCUGGCGGUAAGUGGCGUUAGCCUUCCAACGGCAGGGUUUACGCGGCCUGUUCUGGUUCGAGCUUCGGAUCCAGAAAGCGAACAAGAAAGUCGGACGAGGAACGAGUCUGACCGUGCCUUCACAUCUCUGGAGGAUCUGGAUUACUUGUGGAAACUAGGAGCAGGUUCUAUUGCAGGUGCGGCCGCCAUAAAGUAUGGAAGCAUCCUUUUCCCCGAGAUAACAAGGCCGAACAUUUUGGAGGCAAUGAUCAUAAUUACCACUCCAGUUCUUGUAGUUAUAUUGCUUUUGAUUAGGCAAAGUCGCAUUGAACAAUAGCGCAGGCAGCUCUAUAAACCAUUUUACUCUCUUCUGCGCUGUGUUUCGAUGAUUGGCAUGGCGCUGCAGGACAAUGCCCUGCUGCUAUGACAAUUGUCAGACAAACAGUUGUCAAUUUUCUUCCAGCACCUAUAUAUUAUCCGAAUUCUCAAAGAGAAAUGACUGAACACUUCAGUCGAGGAGUAGAGUCUGGAGGUGCUGAGGUUAAGAUCCAAACCCACAAGAGUAAAGAUUCAACAAGGCUAAAGAAGACUACCGCAAGGAGAUUUGGGAGGUCUCCCGAAGAUUUUUUCGCAGAGUAGUCCCUCAAGGUGAGGAAAAAAGGUACUGGAGACUUGGAAGUCUCUUAGACACCCUCCCGCAAGAUGUUUCCAGACUAAUUAGAUAAUUUCAGUGGCCAAAAAUCCCACCGAGGAUCUUGUAGAGGUAUAUGGUUUAUAUGUUAAAAGUUAUAAUUUUAGUCCAUCUCAAAAUAUUAAGAAUACUCAUCGUUAACCCCUAACUCCAUUAUAAAUAGAAGAAGAGUCACAUUUCCUCAAAAAUAAAUU